UACCUCUGGAGGAAUUUUGCUGCAAACUGAAGCUCUGAACAAUGGACUGAAUGACCCAUCCAAGCUGUGGAUGUACUCCAGAGACUUGACUUAAGCCAUCAGGUUAUUCCAUCACUGCUACAAGCGUGAACCAAAAACUUUGCCAUUGCUGUGCUCACAGCAAUAACCUUGAAGGUCCCACUGUGACAUGCUGUUUUACUGAAGAACAAUGUGUUUAAUCUCUCCUAGGCAAGGGGAAUCAAAGCAGUGAACCAAAGCUACUGGAUCCCGGUUACUGGGAACACAGACAUGACAUUUCCCUCAAGGUUCUACAACUGAAUGUCAAGGCCCUAUUGGGUACAAAGCUCUCUGGUCUUGAAAACAUCACCUGACAUCACAAUGCUGAUGUCAUCUGCCUUCAGGUAAUCCAUGUUAAUUCCCUUAUUGCCAGGCAUUUCAUAAUCUCUGGUUUUGCAUGAAAAAUAUGGCUGAGACACUCAUGUAACUUAGCCGAUGUGGAGAGUCUAUCAUCAUAAGGAUCAGUCAAUUUAAAGUGGUAAAUUUCUACAAGCCCUUGAAUCAACUACAAUCACUCCCACAUCCUGCUAUCUAUGAUGGAAAAUUCACCAGCCACCAUACCACCUGGGGCUAUAAAGAAUCUGAUCAAAGUGGGAUAGACCUUGCAAACUGGGUCUCUCUCAAGGAACUACACUGACCCUAAGCAACCAGCAACUCUUCACACUGCCCAUCAGAAACAGGGCUACCUUCCCUGACCUCAGUUGGGUCACUUCUGCUGGAGGCCACCCUCUACCAGCCAUCUGUAGAGUCCUUGGAAAUUUCCUCCAAAGUCAGCAACACCCGAUCCUCCUCCAAACGGGUUACCAUGCCUAUCAUGACCUCUAGCCCAAGGCUACAUUGGAUCUACAGAAAAGCAGACUGGGACAAUUACACUAAGCCCAUUGACCAAUAUACUGUGUGUGUCCCAAGUAACAUCUCAAUAGA